rnacentral:rRNA from 1 species
UACGAAGGGGGCUAGGCGUUGCUCGGAAUCACUGGGCGUAAAGCGCACGUAGGCGGCUUUCUAAGUCAGGGGUGAAAUCCUGGAGCUCAACUCCAGAACUGCUUUUGAUACUGGAGAGCGUAGAGUCCGGAAGAGGUGAGUGGAACUGCGAGUGUAGAGGUGAAAUUCGUAGAUAUUCGGAAGAACACCGGUGGCGAAGGCGGGUCUCUGGGCCGAUACUGACGCUGAGGAGCGAAAGCGUGGGGAGCGAACAGG